CAGCAGCCGCGGUAAAACGGAGGGAGCUAGCGUUGUUCGGAAUUACUGGGCGUAAAGCGCGCGUAGGCGGUUACUCAAGUCAGAGGUGAAAGCCCGGGGCUCAACCCCGGAACUGCCUUUGAAACUAGGUGACUAGAAUCUUGGAGAGGUCAGUGGAAUUCCGAGUGUAGAGGUGAAAUUCGUAGAUAUUCGGAAGAACACCAGUGGCGAGGGCGACUGACUGGACAAGUAUUGACGCUGAGGUGCGAAAGCGUGGGGAGCAAACAGGAUUAGAUACCCCGGUAGUCCCUGUCUCUUAUAC
rnacentral:rRNA from 1 species